rnacentral:miRNA from 1 species
UAGCGAAGGAUGACUUGCCUA